rnacentral:misc_RNA from 1 species
AAGGAUCAUUAUUGAAUAAAUUUGAACGGGCUGUUGCUGGCUCUGUUGAGCGAUGUGCACGCUUGUCAUUUUUAUGUUUCCAACUGUGCACACAUUGUAGAUCUGGUGGAAUUUUAUGUUGCUUGCAAUAAUAGAGUGAGGAUUUUGCUGUAUGGCACUCCUUGUCUGCUAGGUCUAUGUUCACAAACUCUGAAAUGGUUAUAGAAUGAUGGGGAAAAAAAAAUUUACAACUUUCAGCAACGGAUCUCUUGGCUCUC